rnacentral:sRNA from 1 species
AGUAGAUCGGGAUACUCUUCAAUUAUAUUAUGAAAUGCCGAGACAAGCAUUGCAGUCAAUGGCGGGCCUCGACCGAAAGGUGCAGCCCAGCGCUGCCGGAGGAUUACAAAGAUGCGAUGCCCUCAAAACUUGUUUUUAUCGGAGUUUCAUCACAUCCUUUGGUGUGGCUUCUU